rnacentral:rRNA from 1 species
GACGAACGCUGGCGGCGUGCUUAACACAUGCAAGUCGAACGGAAAGGCCCUGCUGUUGUGGGGUGCUCGAGUGGCGAACGGGUGAGUAACACGUGAGUAACCUGCCCUGGACUUUGGGAUAACGUCAGGAAACUGGGGCUAAUACCGGAUAGGAGCUCCUGCUGCAUGGGGGGGGUUGGAAAGUUUCGGCGGUUGGGGAUGGACUCGCGGCUUAUCAGCUUGUUGGUGGGGUAGUGGCUUACCAAGGCUUUGACGGGUAGCCGGCCUGAGAGGGUGACCGGCCACAUUGGGACUGGGGUCCGGCCCAGACUCCCACGGGAGGGAGCAGUGGGGAAUAUUGCACAAUGGGCGGAAGCCUGAUGCAGCCACGCCGCGUGCGGGAUGACGGCCUUCGGGUUGUAAACCGCUUUCGCCUGUGACGAAGCGUGAGUGACGGUAAUGGGUAAAGAAGCACCGGCUAACUACGU